GCGGCGUGCUUAAUACAUGCAAGUCGAGCGGACCGACGGGAGCUUGCUCCCUUAGGUCAGCGGCGGACGGGUGAGUAACACGUGGGUAACCUGCCUGUAAGACUGGGAUAACUCCGGGAAACCGGGGCUAAUACCGGAUGCUUGAUUGAACCGCAUGGUUCAAUCAUAAAAGGUGGCUUUUAGCUACCACUUACAGAUGGACCCGCGGCGCAUUAGCUAGUUGGUGAGGUAACGGCUCACCAAGGCGACGAUGCGUAGCCGACCUGAGAGGGUGAUCGGCCACACUGGGACUGAGACACGGCCCAGACUCCUACGGGAGGCAGCAGUAGGGAAUCUUCCGCAAUGGACGAAAGUCUGACGGAACAACGCCGCGUGAGUGAUGAAGGUUUUCGGAUCGUAAAACUCUGUUGUUAGGGAAGAACAAGUACCGUUCGAAUAGGGCGGUACCUUGACGGUACCUAACCAGAAAGCCACGGCUAACUACGUGCCAGCAGCCGCGGUAAUACGUAGGUGGCAAGCGUUGUCCGGAAUUAUUGGGCGUAAAGCGCGCGCAGGCGGUUUCUUAAGUCUGAUGUGAAAGCCCCCGGCUCAACCGGGGAGGGUCAUUGGAAACUGGGGAACUUGAGUGCAGAAGAGGAGAGUGGAAUUCCACGUGUAGCGGUGAAAUGCGUAGAGAUGUGGAGGAACACCAGUGGCGAAGGCGACUCUCUGGUCUGUAACUGACGCUGAGGCGCGAAAGCGUGGGGAGCGAACAGGAUUAGAUACCCUGGUAGUCCACGCCGUAAACGAUGAGUGCUAAGUGUUAGAGGGUUUCCGCCCUUUAGUGCUGCAGCAAACGCAUUAAGCACUCCGCCUGGGGAGUACGGUCGCAAGACUGAAACUC
rnacentral:rRNA from 1 species